rnacentral:rRNA from 1 species
GACAGAGGGUGCAAACGUUGUUCGGAAUUACUGGGCGUAAAGCGCGUGUAGGCGGCUGUGCAAGUCGGACGUGAAAUCCCGUGGCUCAACCACGGAAGUGCACCCGAAACUGCGCAGCUGGAGUCUCGGAGAGGAAGGUGGAAUGCUUGGUGUAGAGGUGAAAUUCGUAGAUAUCAAGCGGAACACCGGUGGCGAAGGCGGCCUUCUGGACGAUGACUGACGCUGAGACGCGAAAGCGUGGGGAGCAAACAGG